AUGCUGUUACGUGUUGAUGUAUGGAUCAAACUCGUGCGGAGCCAACAUUUUCUCCCUAUCCUGUGCCAGGUCGUACUUCCAGCUAAAUUUCCCGUCGAUGCUGUCCACGUACUCCCGUCCCUCGGCGGCGGCGCGCCGGCGCUUCGCCACACGGUCGAUGACGCGCUCCAGAGCGACGUCGAACGCGUCCUUGAACGUCACGCCCUUGGCCGCCGGGUGCCGGUACAGCACGGUGGGGAUGAGCCGGAUGACCUGCUCCCGCAUCUGCGCCACCUUCGCCGGCGGUAUCCUGCUCAGCACCUCCUCGAUGCUGGCGUUCCGCUCGACCACGUCGCCGUGCGGGAUGAAGACGGAGUAGCUCCGGUGGUCUCUCGGCAGGUGCCAUAUGUACUGGAGGUAGGCGGAGACGGGGUGGAAGAAGACCGGGAUGCAGCCGGCGAGGAUGGUGUCGAAGGUGGACUUGCGCGUGUACCCGUCGCCGCGCGGCUGCACGCAGAACUCGGCGCUCUCCAGCAGCCGCAUGGCGCGGCCCGGCGCGUAGUGCCCCGGCGCCGGCACGCCGAGCAGCGCGCACCGGCUCGACCUGCCGCACUGCUCCAUGAUCUGGGCGCGCACCGUGCGCUGGCUGCCGUCGCGGGCCCCGCCGGCGAAGCCCCAGAGAAACGGGCGGUCCAUCUCGUACACGCGGUCCUGCCAGCCGGUGACCUCGGCGUCGGACGACGGGUGGAAGUGCGACGGGAACGGCACGGCGAAGUCGUUGCCGUGCCACGGGCUGGCCUCGGUGGUGAGGAACGUGGCGUUGAGGAUGGCCGGGAAGGUCAUGAGCGCGUUGCCCCAGCCGACGGCGUCGGGGUUGACGAUGAAGUCCCACGUGCCCCGCCCGGACACCAGCAAGUGGUCGCGCCCGCCCAUGGCGCGCCACUCUGGCCGCUGCGCCAGCCAGUCCACCACGUCCCGCGACAGGGCGUCCCGCGCCGCGAGGUCUUUGCUCCCCAGGUGCAUCGCCGAGUCGAGACCGGCGUAGAACGGGACGUACACCACGGCGGCGGCGGCGGGGUCGGCCGUGAGACACUCGUGCCGCCGCAUCCGGGCGUGGAAGAUCAGGCCGAGCAUGUACUGGUCGGUGUCGUAGGCCCCGCUCUCCGGCAGCGACCCGGCCUCGCCGCCGCCCUUGAUGGGCGGGCCGAACCCGUCGUUGGCCACGUCCUUGCACACGUCGGUGGAGCCCGAGAUCCGGCGGCACUCGCGGACGAGGUCGGCGUUGAACCGAGGCGGCAGGUCGUACAUGUACACGUACCGGCCGGCGCACGGGUCGCGGCGGAAGAUGCGGGGCACCGAGAAGAAGGCCGACGGCUUGAGCUGGAGCACGGCGGGCGCUGCCACCGCCGCGCUGACCGACUGUUGCAUGCUGGUGGAGAAGUGGUGGUAGAACACCAGCGCCCAGAAGACGACGUAGAGGAGCGCGAGGUAGAAGAGCCGGGACGGCCGCCGUGCGCCCCUCUCGGGGUUCUGCUUGCCGCUGCCGUCGACGGCGGAGUACUGCUUGCCAUCGUCGUCGUAUUCGGCCGCGGCGUCCAGAUCUCGCUGGAGGCUCCGCGAGAAGGGCUUCAUCGGCGGUGUGCUGCCGUGCUGAUGCUGUGGCAUGCAGCUGCUCCAGUGAGUGUCAGUGUAUGCGAGCAGUAA
rnacentral:rRNA from 1 species